rnacentral:sRNA from 1 species
GCGCGUUCCCGGCAGCUGCGGGCUCCGAGGCCAGAGAGAAAAGACUGCGAGGUGGCCGCAGCUGUGGCCGGAGAGCACAAAGAAUGAACCAGCAGUGGAAGAGAAAAUACUGUAAGCUGGCUGACUGCUGGUGAAGAAAAUGCUUUAUUUUUGUGGCAGGCAUCUGUGGGAUCUGUAAUAGAAAUGUAAGUGUAGCAUCAUGGUUUUUUUCAGUGCCGCAGUAAAUUAAAUGGAUUGGUUUAAAGUGUGGUAAAUUGAGUAUCUGUCAUAUUUAGUUUUAAUUAUAUUAAAUGAGCAUUUUCUUUUGACUUAUAGGUGCUUUAUUAACAAUUUAUUUACAUUAAGUUAUCGUUAAUGUAGAUUUCCAAGUCUCCUCAAAAGGAAAAGUCUCUAUAAGAAAAACUGAAGACACAGGAGUUGCUCAAAGAAUGCUGAAAUAGAUCUCCAGGUCCUCUGGGUUCUACCUUCUUUUUACAUAAUAAUUUUCUUAAAUAAUUAAGCUAGGCAAGUAGUACUAGCUUUUGUAAAUAAGACAGACUACUAGGUUAUAAAAACUCUAGUUACUAAAAACUUGUUUCACUAAAUUAAAGGA